GAUGAAGAACGCAGCGAAAUGCGAUACGUAAUGUGAAUUGCAGAAUUCAGUGAAUCAUCGAAUCUUUGAACGCAUAUUGCGCUCUCUGGUAUUCCGGAGAGCAUGCUUGUUUGAGUAUCAGUAAACACCUCAACUUCCAUAUCUUUUUUGAAAUGGGAGUUGGACUUGAGUGAUCCCAACGCUUUUCCUCACCGAAAAGUGGCGGGUUACUUGAAAUGCAGGUGCAGCUGGACUUUUCUCUGAGCUAUAAGCAUAUCUAUUUAGUCUGCCUAAAAAACAGAUUAUUACCUUUGCUGCAGCUAACAUAAAGGAGAUAAGUUCUUGUGCUGACUGAUGCAGGAUUCACAAAGACGGCUUCGGCCGACUUUGUAAACUCGAUCUCAAAUCAAGUAAGACUACCCGCUGAACUUAAGCAUAUCAAUAAGCGGAGGA
rnacentral:misc_RNA from 1 species